CAUAAGUUAACAUCGCGUGUGCUGGUUGCUAAAACAGGAAAAUGGAUGAGGAAAGUGCAAAUUACAUAAAAAGUGUUUGUGGUUCUCUUGGAUUUGAUAAUUACAGCCAAAGAUUCAUUGACUAGCACAUCUGCCACAACUGUCGAAAAUACUUCAGAAUCUAGUAUUUCAUCUCCAUUAAAUCUUGACGAAGAGCAAAAUCUCUACAAUUCUUUCAAGCAGAUAAUUCAAGACACAGAGUCUGCUAAUACAGUGAAGGAAGUAUUGAGUACCAAGGCGGCAGAGGGAAAAAUUAUUCUAAAUUACUAUAAGGAUAACUGCGAUUUGCUUCCCUGCCACCGCAAUUCACUUGCGAAAAUUAUCAUCCACAAUGAAUUUGAAGUCUUUGAAAAGGUAUCAGAAUUGACCAAAGGAUCCCAGAAGUUCACGAUCACCACUCAAAGAUUUAAGGAACUGGUAUCACAGUUACUGGAAAUUUUUCCAACUGAGAAGGGUCUUCUGUACUACGUCCCAUACGACAGUACUACGAAACAAAACGCAUCUGGAAAACUUUGGGAAAGUUUUUGUUAUCUAAAAAAGAAGCUUAAAGCAUCCAGGG